CAUGCAAGUCGUACGAGAAAUCCUGGGCAACUGCGAGAGUAAAGUGGCGCACGGGUGAGUAACGCGUGGGUAACCUACCCUUGAAUUGGGGAUAACUCCUCGAAAGGGGAGUUAAUACCGAAUAAUAUUCCAAUUCCCCCGGGAGUUGGAAUCAAAGGUGGUCUCUGCAUGCAAGCUACUGUCUAAGGAUGGGCCCGCGUACCAUUAGCUAGUUGGUAGGGUAAUGGCUUACCAAGGCAACGAUGGUUAGCUGGUCUGAGAGGACGGCCAGCCACACUGGAACUGAGACACGGUCCAGACUCCUACGGGAGGCAGCAGUGGGGAAUCUUGCGCAAUGGGGGAAACCCUGACGCAGCAACGCCGCGUGGGUGAUGAAGGCUUUCGGGUCGUAAAGCCCUGUCAGGUGGGAAGAAAUAUGCCAAUAUGAAUAAUAUUGACAUUGACGG
rnacentral:rRNA from 1 species